AUGUAUGUUUUAUAAUUGAAUUCAAUGAUAAAGAAUAACACACAAAAAACGAUUCUGAGCAAUCUGAACACAGACGGUCUAUCAACCAUUAUUACUAAGACUAUGAUGUAUAUUGUUCCGAAACCUGUAACCACUCGAAUUCCGCCGAAGACAACUGCAACUAUCGCAGGAGCGUGAACAUAUUCGGCGUGGGUACCGAACCUAUUUAAAAUAAUUCACAUCGGAAGUUUCUCGUACCUAACCUGUGCGGCUCGUCGUUAUCGCAAUCACAACAUCGUGGUCG